AGAGUUUGAUCAUGGCUCAGAACGAACGCUGGCGGUAUGCUUAACACAUGCAAGUCGAACGGUGGCUUCGGCCACAGUGGCGCACGGGUGAGUAACGCGUGGGAACCUGCCUUGGAGUUCGGAAUAACCGCGGGAAACUGCGGCUAAUACCGGAUAUUGCCUUCGGGUGAAAGAUUUAUCGCUCCGAGAGGGGCCCGCGUCCGAUUAGCUAGUUGGUGAGGUAAUGGCUCACCAAGGCUCCGAUCGGUAGCUGGUCUGAGAGGAUGAUCAGCCACACUGGGACUGAGACACGGCCCAGACUCCUACGGGAGGCAGCAGUGGGGAAUAUUGGACAAUGGGGGCAACCCUGAUCCAGCAAUGCCGCGUGAGUGAUGAAGGCCUUAGGGUUGUAAAGCUCUUUUACCCGCGACGAUGAUGACGGUAGCGGGAGAAUAAGCCCCGGCUAACUUCGUGCCAGCAGCCGCGGUAAUACGAAGGGGGCUAGCGUUGUUCGGAGUUACUGGGCGUAAAGGGCGCGUAGCGGCGCACCAAGUCAGGCGUGAAAGCCCUGGGCUCAACCCGGGAAUUGCGCUUGAGACUGGUGUGCUUGAGUACGGGAGAGGAUAGUGGAAUUCCCAGUGUAGAGGUGAAAUUCGUAGAUAUUGGGAAGAACACCGGUGGCGAAGGCGGCUAUCUGGACCGUAACUGACGCUGAGGCGCGAAAGCGUGGGGAGCAAACAGGAUUAGAUACCCUAGUAGUCC
rnacentral:rRNA from 1 species